rnacentral:rRNA from 1 species
GAUGAACGCUAGCGGGAGGCCUAACACAUGCAAGCCGAGCGGUAUUGUUUCUUCGGAAAUGAGAGAGCGGCGUACGGGUGCGGAACACGUGUGCAACCUGCCUUUAUCUGGGGGAUAGCCUUUCGAAAGGAAGAUUAAUACUCCAUAAUAUAUUGAUUGGCAUCAAUUAAUAUUGAAAGCUCCGGCGGAUAGAGAUGGGCACGCGCAAGAUUAGCUAGUUGGUGAGGUAACGGCUCACCAAGGCGAUGAUCUUUAGGGGGCCUGAGAGGGUGAUCCCCCACACUGGUACUGAGACACGGACCAGACUCCUACGGGAGGCAGCAGUGAGGAAUAUUGGUCAAUGGGUGCAAGCCUGAACCAGCCAUCCCGCGUGAAGGACGACUGCCCUAUGGGUUGUAAACUUCUUUUGUAUAGGGAUAAACCUACCCUCGUGAGGGUAGCUGAAGGUACUAUACGAAUAAGCACCGGCUAACUCCGUG